AAGUUCGAACGAGGAGCCUCGGUGUAGCAAUACAUCGGAGCUUCUAGUGGCGCACGGGUGAGUAACACGUGGGCAACCUGCCCUCGAGUUCGGGAUACCCUCUCGAAAGGGAGGCUAAUACCGGAUACGUUCUCCGGAUCGCAAGGUCUGGAGAGGAAAGGUAGCGAAAGCUGCCGCUCUUGGAGGGGCUCGCGGCCUAUCAGCUAGUUGGUGAGGUCAUGGCUCACCAAGGCGAUGACGGGUAGCUGGUCUGAGAGGACGACCAGCCACACGGGAACUGAGACACGGUCCCGACUCCUACGGGAGGCAGCAGUGGGGAAUUUUCCGCAAUGGGCGAAAGCCUGACGGAGUGACGCCGCGUGGGGGACGAAGGCCUUCGGGUCGUAAACCCCUGUCAGAGGGAAAGAAGGGUCGGCGCGUGAACAGCGCGUCGAUCUGACGGUACCUUCAGAGGAAGCCCCGGCCAACUCUGUGCCAGCAGCCGCGGUAAGACAGAGGGGGCAAGCGUUGCUCGGAAUUACUGGGCGUAAAGGGCGCGUAGGCGGGAUGGCAAGUCGGUCGUGAAAUCCCUGGGCUCAACUCAGGGGGGUCGGCCGAUACUGCCGUUCUUGAGGGAUGCAGAGGAGACUGGAAUUCCCGGUGUAGCGGUGAAAUGUGUAGAGAUCGGGAGGAACACCGGUGGCGAAGGCGGGUCUCUGGGCAUUCCCUGACGCUGAGGCGCGAAAGCGUGGGGAGCAAACGGGAAUUAGAUACCCCGGGUAGUCCACGCGGUAACGAUGACAACAGG
rnacentral:rRNA from 1 species